GGCACUAGGACCAUGCAGCCACAGGAAGGGGUGCGUGCACGAAGCAUCAGGCGCUUGGACCAUGCAUCCUUGGGGCGCUGCUUCCUCAAAUCUGGCCCUGCCCAUCACUAUUCACAGCUCAGAUAUGCUCAUCCCCUAAAGCAGUGCUGUCCAAAUAGCAGAAAUUCAAAUAGGGAAGGUGCGCUUAAACAACAGUGUAGCUGUCCCAAAAUCUGAAAAGAAAAAAGUAUUCCCUGCAGCAAGCCUGUAAAAUGGACGUAAUGUUUUGCAAAAUAGAACUACUCACAAAAAUCUUGUAAUAUUCGUGCCAUUAGGUAUUUGCAGCUGGAUUGGAAAUUAGGCGUCUUUUUAGGUAGUGCCUAUAGGGAAAAAAACGUUUUUUGCAAUAUAGUAGGUGUAGUUAUAAGACUGCAGUGCACAGUCCUCGCUUACCCCUCAAACCUGCGACGGAUGCAUAUAAAGUAUCGCUGAUCCGAUCCUCGGGAUGUCGCCCUCAAUGGUGUUAGAUCAGGAGCGCUGAAUUUUGGAGCGAUUUUCUGAGUACGGAAAGGUGGGUGCCGGUACUUGGUUACUGAGCGCCUCAGCGUGCGAAGCGCUUCCGUCUGAAGCGGUGGUUUCCUUGGUGUGGAGCGAUGGUAAUUUGCAGGUUCCACACGUACUAUGAAAUCUCGUUGGCAAUAAAUCCAGUGAGCUCAGACAAGAAGAGGAACGUAAUGAAAAGGCAGCAGCAGAUGGAAAUUGUAGCUCCUGUAUAGGUUGGCUGUGUCAAAUCUUUGGGCACUUUCCGGUAGAUAUCAAAUCUGGGGGUCUGGCAUGCAGAUUUAAAGGAACCGCUGCCAGAUAAUCAGCACCAAGUGACAAGAUCCCACUUCAAGCCUGCCGGCUACAUACAAAGGAACUGGCGUCAGAGCAGGACGCUUUGCAGUUUGUGAUUGGCCGCCGGUUCAGGAGGAGUAUAUACCGGAAAGUGCCCAGAAAGUUUUUUUCCCUAUAGGCACUACCUAAAAAAAAAUUCCAAUCCAGCUGCAAAUACCUACUGGCACGAAUAUUACAAGAUUUUUAUUAAGAAACUAUUGGAUGAGGCGGUGACACACGAAUGGAUCACAGAGGAAACCAGGGACUACUUAUUUGUGGAACAUCCGCAUUGGCCGCUAAUCAGCACGGAUCCGGAUCUGUCGAAGUUGGUGGAUAAGAGACCUCAUAUGGGUUACAAACGGAAUAAGAAUUUGAGGGAAUUAUUGAUACCGGCUGAUCCAACAAACAAGCUUUUGUAUUGUGGUAAGACCACGAAGCAGCUGAGAGACAGAAUCAGCAUGCACCGUUCCACGAUCAGAGCAGCACUGGAUUCGGAUUACGACACCAAAAGGGGUAAACAAGAUAUAUCUAAGCAACCUAUUGCUCAACACUGGUUGAAGGUGAAGCACUCGAUCUCAUCAUUUAAAUGGAUGCCCAUAGACUAUGUGAAACCUCCACGUAGAGGUGGGGACGUUGAUCAAAUUUUACUUCAGAAAGAAGCAUUCUGGACUUUUGAAUUGGGAUGCGUAGCAACACUUUGAUUGUUACAAUUUUAUUAUAAUAAUUUCAACAAGUAACAUUGCAACACUGUGGUUUGUUUUUAACUUUGUUUUAAACUGUUAUUUAAAAGUAGCCUUUUGGUUCCCUAUAAUGGGUUUAGAUAAAUUAACCAUUUAAGCAACACUUGUGUGCAGCAAUGAAAGUUGGUUUGAUUGGCAGUCGCUAAAUGCUGACAAUUACAUCACGUCAACCAGACUGUUGUUUGCCUGCCUUAUCAUGUGUAUAAAAUGCAUUUUCAAUAUUGAAUUGUUACUUUGAGAAAGGACUGGGACCAGGCCAAAACGUCAGUCGUAACUUCUACAAUAAAUCAUUUUUUCCUUUUAAG